GAGGGACUAACGGCACACCUGUUAGUACUUGUUCUCUUAUGUAUGUAUGUUUAUAGUAGGUUCUGUCGCAUCUUGUUCAGACAGACAACUUAUCAAAUGAUUACAUUUCUGUGUCAGCAUGGUGUGGAUGUGUUUCAUUCCAAACGCUAUUAGCAUGCAUUUACCUCCAAAUCUCCCACACCUGGGAAUAUUGGUGAAAUAAUACGGGUGGUUGGAGCUUAAGGUCUAAAAAUUACACACUUACUAUAAACUGUGUGAACAGCGGGAUGAGGGAGAGAUGUAAGCAACACGGAAGGUGUGUUGCGGUGGAUAAAAUCUUGUGGCUCGUGUAUGAACAGCAAAACAUAUCAACUAAACUAUAAGAAAAUGUUAUUUUCAAAGCCCAAACAAUAAAAAGUCCAAACAUCAAAGUGUCACAUCUGUGCAAAAAUGACAGCUUUGUUACCGUGUAGGUUCAGGUGCGCGCGGUGCGCUAUCCUUUCAGCACUCCGUCCCAAUCCGCCAAUCCGGUGUCUAACGCGUCUUCACGGUAAUGACAAUGAUGUUCAGUUAAUGCUAUUCAAGUUAUAAAUAAAGACGCAAAUCAUUUGAGAUUGUAUUGCCUUCAUCAUUUUUGUAAACUAACUAUGUUGUUAUAGUGGUUUUCUUUAAAUUCACCAAGUGGUGGCACUGUGCACGGAUAUCCGUGGAGAUAGUUAUUCGUUUGAUCCCGAGUAAUACGCUGCUACUUCUUUGCGUGUAAUAAUAUCUGACAAGCUAUAUAAUCCAGAUUAUUAUUAAUUGAAGACAUGGUUGAAUGCAGCACUCUAAGUUGUGUUAUAUUAUCUGCAAAUAAAAGAUGAAGGAGGAGGGGAGAGGAGUCAAUUGCACCAUUUUUCUUUUGCUUACUUACAGGGAGUGGUAGCCAAUAAAAUUAAAGUAAACGAAACCAAUAUUGGCAGAAGACGGCUGCACGUUCCACUCAGUCCGGUUUGUAGAGUGCAAUCUUGGCUUCCGCGGCGAAUGUUCCUGCUUCCAUCGCUACUGCUGCCUUUUACAGGAGACUCGUGUUGUCUCUUACGAUAAUUGCUCAAAAUUAUGUUUUCUCUGCGGAUUUCGAAACAAGGUUCUGAAACGUAAGUGAAACACGAAUCCUCUACGAAAAAAUAAACGACCAUUUAACCCGCGUGUUGUCGUAAUGUUCGGGUCAGACACCGGAGAUUCCAGUUUAAGAAAGGGAAACGUUUCCUGUUAAAUACGCAUCUUUUUAAUCUCAGCGGAUUUAGGACAUAUUGGAGAUAGGACAAACAACUUGAUUCUACUCGGCGAGGAGACGUCCGAUGGCCAGGAAAAUAAAAUGAAUUUUGCAGUGAGCGUUCUUAACGCAUUUCUAAUUAAAGACAUGCCGGGGUAAUCCACAAGGGACUGCGCUUUAGUUCUGCAACUGAGAAUAUAAAGUGACCGACCGUGCGCCAGACUUGGGACAAACUUUAUCGAGCCACGCGCCAAAAAGUUUCCUCUAGGACCUCUGUGAUUUUUUUCCACCCACUACAGGUCGACUCCACGAGCUAAGAACAGAAGCAUCCCAUCAAUACACAAGAACCAGCGUAUGGGUCUCCAGUGGUGUUGUACCCAAUCUUUGAAAUACCUGGAGUGAGACGGCGAGAUUGAUUCUGUUCCGUUCAAGUCACACUAACAUCUGCAAACGUCAAAUAAGACUGCAGGUCCGCUGCCUCACAGACCGACACACACCUGAAGCGGGACGGGAGAUAGAUUUCAGUAGCGAUGAGCGCACAGCGCACACCUGUCUACAUGGGACUCAUACUGUUGAUCUCCACCGCCGGAUACAGCAAGCAGAGCGCGGCUCCCACGGACUCUAGGGCCGGUAGGAGCCUGUUCCAGCUGAUCAUGGAUAAAGUACGGCAGACGAAGGAGCAACAGGCUGACGACAGUGACAACCCACCAUAUAACUCCAACAAACACUAUUCAGUCGAAACAAAGGAAAUGCAUGACUAUAAGUCUUAUCCUGAUCAUCACGUUCUUGAGAUUUUUCCAAGAGAUCUCAGGCAGAAAGAAAUUUUUUUAAAGCACUUGACAGGUCCCCUUUACUUCAGUCCAAAAUGCACCAAACACUUCAACAGGCUGUAUCACGGCACAAGGGACUGCACUGUGCCAGCCUAUUACAAACGAUGUGCCAGACUUCUAAAGAGGUUAGCAGGGAGUCCACGAUGCAUGGAAGGUUAAAUAUAUCAAUCAUGUAUAAAGCAGACCAGACAUGCCUUCUUGCUGACCAAACACAUGAGUCAAAUGAGAAGAAAAGACUGACACCAAGAAAAGAGUGCCUUGGAGUAACAGGGAACAAAUGUAACUGCAAAAUCGCAGUCUGCCUGUCUGUCUGUCUGUCUAUCAGCCUGCCUGCCUGCCUAUCUGUUUGUCUGUCUGGCCGUGUGCCUGUGUCUGUUUGCCUGUCUGAAUGCCAGCUUGCCUGCCUGCCUGCCUAUCUGUCUGUCUGCCUGUUUGUCUGUCUGUCCAUCUGUCCAUCUGUUUGUCUGUCUGUCUGUCUGUCUAUCAGCCUGCCUACCCAUCUAUUUGUCUGUCUGUCUGUCUGCCUGCCUGCCUGCCUACCUGUCUGUCUGUCUGUCUGUCUAACUCAGAUGGUACAAAUGAAGAAAUCUCAGGGAAAAAGAUGCAUGCCCUGCCGCCAAACACAAAAUAUGUAGUUAUAUUUGAUACAAAUCAAGCUACAUUUACUUUAAUGCCUUUUUGGGUGUUUAUGAGCUUCUUUUAUUAGCUUGUCUGUUAAACAUUGCAUUCCUCUCAGCACUGGUACCCACAUCAAAAACAAGCAUCAGUCACAUAAUCCUGAAUGCCAUGAUCUCACACACUCGCAUGGAAAUUUGCCUUUUUGCCACUACCAGACCUUUCUUGCUUAGCAGAGAUGUGUGACUGAGUGCUGGUUAACGUUUACAAGCUGUAAACGUUAACCAAACGAGUGCUGAUAAUCAGGAUUAUCCUAAACAGUUUUGAAUGUGGUAAUAUGGAAUAUAUUUAUAUAUUCCAAUUAUUGUUGUUUGUCUUUCUGUACAUUAAAUUUAUAAAUAUUCCAGCUAAUUUGCAAAAUGUAAAUAUUGUAAAUAUGGUAUGUAUGGACAAUAAAUGAAAGUUUUUGAUAUAUAA